UACGUAGGGGGCAAGCGUUGUCCGGAAUCAUUGGGCGUUAAAAGGAGCGCGUAGGUCGGUCCGGUAAGUCCGCUCAUUGAAAGUCCGGGGCUCAACCCCGGGAGGCGGGCGAUACUGUCGGGCUAGAGUCCGGAAGAGGCGAGUGGAAUUCCUGGUGUAGCGGUGAAAUGCGCAGAUAUCAAGGAGGAACACCAAUGGCGAAGGCAGCUCGCUGGGACGGUACUGACGCUGAGGCGACGAAAGCGUGGGGAGCAAACAGG
rnacentral:rRNA from 1 species